CGUCUAUAUACGUAUAGCAUAUCAAUAAGCGGAGGAAAAGAAACUAACAAGGAUUCCCUUAGUAACGGCGAGUGAAGCGGGAAGAGCUCAAAUUUGAAAUCUUCAAGGUUCUACCUUGACGAAUUGUAGUUUAUAGAAGUGUUUUCUGUUAGUGGAGUGGCAAAAGUUCUUUGGAAUAGGACAUCAUAGAGGGUGAGAAUCCCGUAUUUGGUCAUUCCUCCUAGCGUUGUGAUACACUUUCAACGAGUCGGAUUGUUUGGGAAUGCAGUCCAAAAUGGGUGGUAAAUUUCAUCUAAAGCUAAAUAUUGGCGAGAGACCGAUAGCGAACAAGUACCGUGAGGGAAAGAUGAAAAGAACUUUGAAAAGAGAGUUAAACAGUACGUGAAAUUGUCAAAAGGGAAGCGUUUGACACCAGUGUUGUUUUUCCGAAAAUCAAUUACGAAUGUUUUAUUUUUGAGGAGUUAUGACUUCAUCGGCUUGCUUCUUUCUUUACUGAAACUUUCUUAAUGCACUUUUCGGUUAACAAGUCAACAUCAAUUUCUUUUGUUGUAAAAGGGUAUGAGGAAGGUGGCUUUCUUUUCGGAGAAAGUGUUUAUAGCCUUGUGCCUCUGCAAUCGGAGAGAUUGAGGUCUGCAGCGUAGAUCCUUCGGGGUUAGAUACGUUUGUGCUAAGUUAUAGCUUUUCAUAGACAACUUGUUGACUAUGUUUAGUCUUGUAGCUUACUCGCUGACGCUAUUUUACCUACGCUUAGGAUGUUGACUGAUAUGUAGUCGUA
rnacentral:rRNA from 1 species